CUGGAGGUAUCAGAAGUGCGAAUGCUGACAUAAGUAACGAUAAAGCGGGUGAAAAGCCCGCUCGCCGGAAGACCAAGGGUUCCUGUCCAACGUUAAUCGGGGCAGGGUGAGUCGACCCCUAAGGCGAGGCCGAAAGGCGUAGUCGAUGGGAAACAGGUUAAUAUUCCUGUACUUGGUGUUACUGCGAAGGGGGGACGGAGAAGGCUAUGUUGGCCGGGCGACGGUUGUCCCGGUUUAAGCGUGUAGGCUGGUUUUCCAGGCAAAUCCGGAAAAUCAAGGCUGAGGCGUGAUGACGAGGCACUACGGUGCUGAAGCAACAAAUGCCCUGCUUCCAGGAAAAGCCUCUAAGCAUCAGGUAACAUCAAAUCGUACCCCAAACCGACACAGGUGGUCAGGUAGAGAAUACCAAGGCGCUUGAGAGAACUCGGG
rnacentral:rRNA from 1 species